AUUGAACGCUGGCGGCAGGCUUAACACAUGCAAGUCGAACGAGUGGCGGACGGGUGAGUAAUGCUUGGGAAUCUUGCUUAUGGAGGGGGAUAACUACGGGAAACUGUAGCUAAUCCCGCGUACCAUAGGAUGAGCCCAAGUGGGAUUAGGUAGUUGGUGAGGUAAAGGCGCACCAAGCCGCAUAUCUCUAGCUGGUCUGAGAGGAUGACCAGCCACACUGGAACUGAGACACGGUCCAGACUCCUACGGAGGGCAGCAGUGGGGAAUAUUGCACAAUGGGCGAAAGCCUGAUGCAGCCAUGCCGCGUGUGUGAAGAAGGCCUUCGGGUUGUAAAGCACUUUCAGAGAGGAGGCGUUACUCGCAGAAGAAGCACCGGCUAACUCCGUGCCAGCAGCCGCGGUAAUUC
rnacentral:rRNA from 1 species